UCAAGUUUCCAUCUACCUGCA
rnacentral:piRNA from 1 species